GACGAACGCUGGCGGCAUGCCUAACACAUGCAAGUCGAACGAGACCUUCGGGUCUAGGGGCGCACGGGGGGGGAACACGUGGGAACCUACACGUAGGUUCGGAAUAACUGCCCGUAAGGGGUGCUAAUACCGGUGAAUGUAUUCCGAGCAACGAGUUAUCGCCUUUGGGUGGGCGCGGGUUGGCUUAGCUGGUUGGUAGGGUAAAAGCAUACCAAGGCGACGAUGCAUAGCUGGUCUGAGAGGAUGCUCCGCAAGGCUGGGACUGCGACCCGGCCUAGAAUCCUACGGAAGGGAGCAGUGGGGUAUAUUGGAGGCGGGGCGAUAGCGUGACCCAGCAAUGCCGCGUGUGUGAUGCAGGCCUUAGUGUUGUAAAGCUCUUUUACCCGGGAUGAUAAUGACAGUACCGGGAGAAUAAGCUCCGGCUAACUACGUG
rnacentral:rRNA from 1 species